UACAGAGGGUGCGAGCGUUGUUCGGAAUUACUGGGCGUAAAGCGCGCGCAGGCGGCUCUUUAAGUCUGACGGUGAAAUGCCGGGGCUCAACCCCGUGCCUGCCGGAGAUACUGGGGAGCUGGAGACGAGUAGAGGCAAGCGGAAUUCCGGGUGUAGCGGUGGAAUGCGUAGAGAUCCGGAAGAACACCGGAGGCGAAGGCGGCUUGCUGGGCUCGGUCUGACGCUGAGGCGCGAAAGCCAGGGGAGCAAACGGG
rnacentral:rRNA from 1 species